GAUGAAGGACGCAGCGAAAUGUGCUACGUAAUGUGAAUUGCAGAAUUCAGUGAAUCAUCGAGUCUUUGAACGCACAUUGCGCCCCCUGGUAUUCCGGGGGGCAUGCCUGUCCGAGCGUCAUUGCUGCCCUCAAGCACGGCUUGUGUGUUGGGCCUCCGUCCUCCUCCCGGGGGACGGGCCCGAAAGGCAGCGGCGGCACCGCGUCCGGUCCUCGAGCGUAUGGGGCUUCGUCACCCGCUCUUGUAGGCCCGGCCGGCGCUUGCCGACACAUCAAUCUUUUUUCCAGGUUGACCUCGGAUCAGGUAGGGAUACCCGCUGAACUUAAGCAUAUCAAUAAGCGGAGGA
rnacentral:misc_RNA from 1 species